AAGUCCCGCAACGAGCGCAACCCUUAUGUUUAGUUGCCAUCAGUUAGGCUGGGCACUCUAGACAGACUGCCGUGGACAACACGGAGGAAGGUGGGGAUGACGUCAAAUCAUCAUGCCCCUUAUGAUUUGGGCUACACACGUGCUACAAUGGUCGGUACAACGGGCAGCGAAGGAGUGAUCUGGAGCGAAUCCUAAAAAGCCGAUCUCAGUUCGGAUUGUAGGCUGCAACUCGCCUACAUGAAGUUGGAGUUACUAGUAAUCGUGGAUCAGAAUGCCGCGGUGAAUGCGUUCCCGGGUCUU
rnacentral:rRNA from 1 species